AUUCAGAUAGUUUAAUUUAGAAUGAUAAUUUGUGGUAUUAUUGGUGUAUUUGUAACUCUGGAUU
rnacentral:tRNA from 1 species